rnacentral:tRNA from 1 species
GCUGCCGCUCAGUUGGUUAGAGCACUGCACCGGAAUCGCAGGGCCGUAGGUUCAAUUCCUGCCAGGGACCU